rnacentral:rRNA from 1 species
AUUGAACGCUUGCGGCAGGCUUCACCCAUGCAAGUCGAACGAGUGGCGGACGGGCGAGUAAUGCAUGGGAAUCUUGCUUAUGGAGGGGGAUAACUCCGGGUCACUGCAGCUACUACCGUGUACCAUAGGCUGAGUCCAAGUGGGAUUAGGUAGUUGGUGAGGUAAAGGCUCCCCAAGCAGAUGAUCUCUAUCUGGUCUGAGCGAAUGACCCGCAACACUGGGACUGCGACACGGCCCAGACUCCGUCGGGAGGCAGCAGUGGGGAAUAUUGCGCAAUGGGGGCAACCUGACGCAGCCAGGCAGCGGGAAUGAAGAAGGCCUUCGGGUGGUAAAGUUCUUUCGGUAGCGGGGCGUUAAUGACAGAAGAAGCACCGGCUAACUCCGUGCCAGUAGCCGCGGUAAUUC